rnacentral:pre_miRNA from 1 species
AAUAGAUAACGUGUUGACUUUUUCUCAUAUGUUUGACCAUUUGUCUUAUUCAAAAAAUUUACGUAAUUAUAAUUUAUUUUGCUAUGAGUUGUUUUAUCACUCAUAGUACUUUAAGUGUGAUUUAUAUUUUAUACAUUUGCAUAAAAAUUUUUAAAUAAGACGAAUGGUCAAACAUGUGAGAAAAAAUCAAUGGCGUCAUCUAUU